rnacentral:miRNA from 1 species
GGCCAUCAGGAUCGGUGUGGA